rnacentral:rRNA from 1 species
UUUCUUGUCAUUUUAGAGGAAGUAAAAGUCGUAAACAGGUCUCCGUUGGUGAACCAGCGGAGGGAUCAUUACCGAGUUUACAACUCCCAAACCCCUGUGAACAUACCUUAAUGUUGCCUCGGCGGAUCAACCCGCGCCCCGUAAAACGGGACGGCCCGCCAGAGGACCCAAACUCUAAUGUUUCUUAUUGUAACUUCUGAGUAAAACAAACAAAUAAAUCAAAACUUUCAACAACGGAUCUCUUGGUUCUGGCAUCGAUGAAGAACGCAGCAAAAUGCGAUAAGUAAUGUGAAUUGCAGAAUUCAGUGAAUCAUCGAAUCUUUGAACGCACAUUGCGCCCGCUGGUAUUCCGGCGGGCAUGCCUGUUCGAGCGUCAUUUCAACCCUCAAGCCCCCGGGUUUGGUGUUGGGGAUCGGCUCUGCCUCACGGCGGUGCCGCCCCCGAAAUACAUUGGCGGUCUCGCUGCAGCCUCCAUUGCGUAGUAGCUAACACCUCGCAACUGGAACGCGGCGCGGCCAUGCCGUAAAACCCCAACUUCAUGAAUGUUGACCUCGGAUCUGGUAGGAUACCC